UCCGGGAUCGUCUAACGGCAGGACACUACCCUCUGAAGGUAGGUAUCUUGGUUCGAAUCCAAGUCCCGGAGCCA
rnacentral:tRNA from 1 species